ACGUAGGGUGCAAGCGUUGUCCGGAAUUACUGGGUGUAAAGGGAGCGCAGGCGGAUCUUUAAGUUGGACGUUUAAUCUACGGGCUUAACCCGUAUCAGCGUUCAAAACUGGGGAUCUUGAGUGGAGUAGAGGCAGGCGGAAUUCCAGGUGUAGCGGUGGAAUGCGUAGAUAUCUGGAGGAACACCAGUGGCGAAGGCGGCCUGCUGGGCUCUAACUGACGCUGAGGCUCGAAAGCAUGGGUAGCAAACAG
rnacentral:rRNA from 1 species